UAAAUAGAAAGAGGCAUCAGUUUACCGUCUGUGAUUUGUUGUGUCGUGCCGUGCCACAUCCAGUGUAGAGAGCAUUACUGAUUAUAAUAGGCUCUGUUGUAUUUUGUUGUGCCGUCCAGUGUAGACACAGUGUUAGACCUCUUAUUAAAUAUCAUUACAUAUGAUUCAUGUAUGAUGCCAUUCAUCACUGAUAGAUCUUUUCUAUUUCAUCGAUAAACCACAAGAGUUUAGCUCCAACCCCAGUUAAGCAGAUCUGGGCAGCUGAUCAAGGAUCACCAGAAACUCUGCAGAACAUUGGUCCUCCAGCCCAGGACUGGACACCAGUGUUGUAAGUCAUUAAUCUAGAAGUCAUCCUGCCUCUUUGAAGUGUCAUGUUCAGAAUAUAUUACAGGAGAUCUCUCAUUGUCUCUUAAGGUCCACUUACAUGCAGAGUUUUGCUCCAACCUGCAGUGCACCUGAACACAUUAAUCAAGGUCUUCAGUUUUACCAACUAUUAGUGUUGUCACGGUACCAAAAUUUCAGUACCAAAGCAAAACACAAAAACAUGCUAAUUAAUUUUUUAUUAUUAUUAUUAUUAUUAGCUGCACUUAUACUAACAAUAAACACUUAUACUAACAAUUAA
ensembl:lncRNA